GGUGGAUUUUUAGCCCUGGUGGGUAGCUUCCCGGAAACGAAAGUCUUCCGGUUCCGGGGGAAGUAUGGUUGCAAAGCUGAAACUUAAAGGAAUUGACGGAAGGGCACCACCAGGAGUGGAGCCUGCGGCUUAAUUUGACUCAACACGGGGAAACUCACCCGGCCCGGACACCGUAAGGAUUGACAGAUUGAUAGCUCUUUCAUGAUUCGGUGGUUGGUGGUGCAUGGCCGUUCUUAGUUCGUGGAUCGAUUUGUCUGGUUUAUUCCGAUAACGAGCGAGACUCUAGCCUACUAAAUAGUAACGAGAUUAUCAAUGUCUCAGUUGCUUCUUAGAGGGAUUUUCGGUGUUUAGCCGCACGAGAUUGAGCAAUAACAGGUCUGUGAUGCCCUUAGAUGUCCGGGGCUGCACGCGCGCUACACUGGCGAAAUCAGCGUGCUGUAUCCAUUCUCGAAAGGGAUUGGUAAACCCAUGAAAAUUUGCCGUGCUUGGGAUCGGAAAUUGCAAUUAUUUUCCGUGAAC
rnacentral:rRNA from 1 species